GAUGAACGCUGGCGGCGUGCCUAAUACAUGCAAGUCGAGCGAACGGACGAGAAGCUUGCUUCUCUGAUGUUAGCGGCGGACGGGUGAGUAACACGUGGAUAACCUACCUAUAAGACUGGGAUAACUUCGGGAAACCGGAGCUAAUACCGGAUGAUAUUUUGAACCGCAUGGUUCAAAAGUGAAUGACGGUCUUGCUGUCACUUAUAGAUGGAUCCGCGCUGCAUUAGCUAGUUGGUAAGGUAACGGCUUACCAAGGCAACGAUGCAUAGCCGACCUGAGAGGGUGAUCGGCCACACUGGAACUGAGACACGGUCCAGACUCCUACGGGAGGCAGCAGUAGGGAAUCUUCCGCAAUGGGCGAAAGCCUGACGGAGCAACGCCGCGUGAGUGAUGAAGGUCUUCGGAUCGUAAAGCUCUGUUAUUAGGGAAGAACAGAUGUGUAAGAAACUGUGCACAUCUUGACGGUACCUAAUCAGAAAGCCACGGCUAACUACGUG
rnacentral:rRNA from 1 species